AUUUAUUGUAAAAAAUUGAUUUACAUGAAAGAAAUGAAGAAUUCAGAAUUGGACAACAACACUAAUCUAAAGAAUAUUAGAGUAUGAAAUUAAUGAGUUUAUCAUUUCAGAAUACUGCAGAAUGCUAUAGAAUACACUAAGAAUUGAAUAACAGACUUUGAAGUUUAAUAAGAAAAAACUCAAAAUUCAAGAACGAAAUUUCAGACCUAAUCUAAGAAUAUUACAGAGCAUAAAAUUGACAGUUACUAUCUACUUUGAGUACAAUUGAUUUACAAAAACAAUACACAUUCAUUACUAUUGAAUUGUAAAAAAACGAGAACUGAAAAUAAGAUUGAAUCGAAAACUAAAUCUUUGCUAAGAAAUGAAAGCAGAACUGACGGAAUUGAACACGGAAACUAACCGAAACUGAUACCUGAAAUACGACGGAAGAUGAAAAUCAAAAUGCGAAAUUGAAUCAAGAACACCGAGAGCAAACAACAGAAGAUCAGGAAAAGAAGAACUCACAAGUGGUAAUAAAUUUUCCGAUAUCCUCUUUCAUUGCCUCUCCUUUUUAUAUCUUCCGUCUUUCAACUUCCUCUUCUUUUAAUUAGAUCUUUACUUGGGUUGUUGGGUUAAACCCGUUUCCUAUUAUUUUAAUUUAAAUCUUUUGAGGUUUGAACAGCUAACUCUUCUUUCUCUUUCACAUCCUCCCUCAAAUCUGGCUGGAUAAAAUCUGCUAGAUUUGAUUGUAUAGGCUCCG
rnacentral:lncRNA from 1 species